AGCGAACGCUGGCGGCAGGCCUAACACAUGCAAGUCGAACGGAUCCUUCGGGAUUAGUGGCGGACGGGUGAGUAACACGUGGGAACGUGCCCUUUGGUUCGGAACAACUCAGGGGAACUUGAGCUAAUACCGGAUGUGCCCUUCGGGGGGAAGAUUUAUCGCCAUUGGAGCGGCCCGCGUCUGCUUAGCUAGUUGGUGAGGUAACGGCCCACCAAGGCGACGAUCAGUAGCUGGUUUGAGAGGAUGAUCAGCCACACUGGGACUGAGACACGGCCCAGACUCCUACGGGAGGCAGCAGUGGGGAAUCUUGCGCAAUGGGCGAAAGCCUGACGCAGCCAUGCCGCGUGAAUGAUGAAGGUCUUAGGAUUGUAAAAUUCUUUCAGCGGGGACGAUAAUGACGUUACCCGCAGAAGAAGCUCCGGCUAACUUCGUG
rnacentral:rRNA from 1 species